AAAGCGCACGCAGGCGGUCUGUCAAGUCGGAUGUGAAAUCCCCGGGCUCAACCUGGGAACUGCAUUCGAAACUGGCAGGCUAGAGUCUUGUAGAGGGGGUAGAAUUCCAGGUGUAGCGGUGAAAUGCGUAGAGAUCUGGAGGAAUACCGGUGGCGAAGGCGGCCCCUGGACAAAGACUGACGCUCAGGUGCGAAAGCGUGGGGAGCAAACAGGAUUAGAUACCCUGGUAGUCCACGCCGUAAACGAUGUCGAUUUGGAGGUUGUGCCCUUGAGGCGUGGCUUCCGGAGCUAACGCGUUAAAUCGACCGCCUGGGGAGUACGGCCGCAAGGUUAAAACUCAAAUGAAUUGACGGGGGCCCGC
rnacentral:rRNA from 1 species